rnacentral:lncRNA from 1 species
AAAGGGGCACUAGCUGUCAAAUCCAUGGUCACCGAUUUGACUCAAAUUCUCAUAUUUGAUUAAUAACAAUGUACAACAUUUAUCCAAACUACCAAAAGUCUAAAAUAAACAGUUUACAGAGCAUGGGGUAGAUAAUAUUUAGGUUUGUUUCGUGUGUAUUUUAGUCCAGACGCCAUCUAAUGAACUAUCGAUUUGACCUCAGAUGAC